GCCUUUGUGGUGUAGUGGUCUGCAUGUUCGACGCGUAACCGAGAGGUCCGUGGUUCGAUUCCCGGCGAAGGCG
rnacentral:tRNA from 1 species